GCCAAAAUUAAAAGAAAUACUCGUCAAAAAGGAAAUUUCAUACCCCACUAGAUCUCAGAGAAGUGAACUGAAAGAAAAAUCCCCACAAACGACUAGCCAGAUGCAAUCAUGUCCUUCAAUCUCUUCACCGUUGAAGUUUGUUAUGGUUACAAUUCUUUCCCUUCUUUGAUUCCUUCCACAACUUUGAUUCAUUUCCAAACUUCAAUUCCUUCAUUAAGAUAAAGUUCAAAUUUAAG